rnacentral:tRNA from 3 species
GCGAGGGUGGCGGAAUGGCAGACGCGCUGGACUUAGGAUCCAGUAGGGUUAAACCUGUGCGGGUUCAAGUCCCGCCCUUCGCACCA